rnacentral:rRNA from 1 species
CAGUCGCCACGGUAAAACCAGCAGCCCAAGUGGUGGUCGCGAUUAUUGGGCCUAAAGCGCUCGUAGUCGGGCCGGUAAGUCCCUUGUGAAAUCGGACGGCCUAACCGUUCGGCGUGCAAGGGAUACUGUCGGUCUUGAGGCCGGGAGACGUCCGAGGUACUCCGGGGGUAGCGGUGAAAUGUUCUGAUCCUCGGGGGACCACCGGUGGCGAAGGCGUUCGACGAGAACGGGCCUGACGGUGAGGGGCGAAGGCUAGGGGAGCAAACGGGAUUAGAUACCCCCGUAGUCCCUGUCUCUUAUA